AUACUGACCUGGCAGGGGAGAUACCAUGAUCAGAAGGUGGCUUUCCCAGGGCGAGGCUGAUCCCUGGCACUCGCAUGUGCUGACCCCUGCGGUUUCCCCAAAUGUGGAAAACCCGACUGCAUAAUUCGUGGUGGUGGGGGACUGUGUUCGCUCUCCCCUA